rnacentral:rRNA from 1 species
UAGGGAAUCUUCGGCAAUGGGGGGAACCCUGACCGAGCAACGCCGCGUGAGUGAAGAAGGUUUUCGGAUCGUAAAGCUCUGUUGUUAAGGAAGAACGAGUGUGAGAAUGGAAAGUUCAUACUGUGACGGUACUUAACCAGAAAGGGACGGCUAACUACGUGCCAGCAGCCGCGGUAAUACGUAGGUCCCGAGCGUUGUCCGGAUUUAUUGGGCGUAAAGCGAGCGCAGGCGGUUAGAAAAGUCUGAAGUGAAAGGCAGUGGCUCAACCAUUGUAGGCUUUGGAAACUGUUUAACUUGAGUGCAGAAGGGGGGAGUGGAAUUCCAUGUGUAGCGGUGAAAUGCGUAGAUAUAUGGAGGAACACCGGUGGCGAAAGCGGCUCUCUGGUCUGUAACUGACGCUGAGGCUCGAAAGCGUGGGGAGCGAACAGG